rnacentral:lncRNA from 1 species
UUCAUAGUGUUACAGGAGCUGAGACUGCCGAGUGCUGAGCUGAGACUAGAAGGAAAGCGGAUCUUUCAGAGAGGAAGUCAACCCCAGAACCAGUGAGGACGCACAGGCCCAUGAAGAGUACCUGCAUUGUGGCAAGAUGCCCCUCCAGGUAGAUGCAGCAACGUUUAAGCACUUGACAGCCAGGAGGGAGAUCUGAAGAUUCUCAAGGAGAGCUUUCAGUACAGCGGCUGAGUUGUUUUCCAAGAACUCAGAGGUCCCCGAGGAUGUACUUGUAGGGGACAAGGAAGAUUGGUGGUCUCUGUACUCUGGGGGCUACCCCCAACUUUGAAUAGAUCAGUUAUGUUUCCCUUUG